UGGGGAAUAUUGCACAAUGGGCGAAAGCCUGAUGCAGCGACGCCGCGUGCGGGAUGAAGGCCUUCGGGUUGUAAACCGCUUUUAAUUGGGAGCAAGCGAGAGUGAGUGUACCUUUUGAAUAAGCACCGGCUAACUACGUGCCAGCAGCCGCGGUAAUACGUAGGGUGCAAGCGUUAUCCGGAAUUAUUGGGCGUAAAGAGCUCGUAGGCGGUUUGUCACGCCUGGUGUGAAAGUCCAUCGCUUAACGGUGGAUCUGCGCCGGGUACGGGCAGGCUAGAGUGCAGUAGGGGAGAUUGGAAUUCCCGGUGUAACGGUGGAAUGUGUAGAUAUCGGGAAGAACACCAAUGGCGAAGGCAGAUCUCUGGGCUGUUACUGACGCUGAGGAGCGAAAGCAUGGGGAGCGAACAGGAUUAGAUACCCUGGUAGUCCAUGCCGUAAACGGUGGAUGCUGGAUGUGGGACCCCUCCACGGGUUCCGUGUCGGAGCUAACGCGUUAAGCAUCCCGCCUGGGGAGUACGGCCGCAAGGCUAAA
rnacentral:rRNA from 1 species